UACGUAGGGUGCAAGCGUUUAAUCGGAAUUACUGGGCGUAAAGCGUGCGCAGGCGGUUGUGCAAGACAGAUGUGAAAAUCCCCGGGCUUAACCUGGGAAUUGCAUUUGUGACUGCACGGCUAGAGUGUGUCAGAGGGGGGUAGAAUUCCAACGUGUAGCAGUGAAAUGCGUAGAUAUGUGGAGGAAUACCGAUGGCGAAGGCAGCCCCCCUGGGAUAACACUGACGCUCAUGCACGAAAGCGUGGGGAGCAAACAGG
rnacentral:rRNA from 1 species